rnacentral:rRNA from 1 species
CCUACGGGGGGCAGCAGUGGGGGAUAUUGCACAAUGGGGGGAACCCUGAUGCAGCGACGCCGCGUGGGCGAUGGAGUGCUUCGGCAUGUAAAGCCCUAUCAGCAGGGAAGAAAAUGACGGUACCUGACUAAGAAGCCCCGGCUAAAUACGUGCCAGCAGCCGCGGUAAUACGUAUGGGGCAAGCGUUAUCCGGAUUUACUGGGUGUAAAGGGAGCGCAGACGGCAGCGCAAGCCAGGAGUGAAAGCCCGGGGCCCAACCCCGGGACUGCUCUUGGAACUGCGCGGCUGGAGUGCAGGAGGGGCAGGCGGAAUUCCUGGUGUAGCGGUGAAAUGCGUAGAUAUCAGGAGGAACACCGGUGGCGAAGGCGGCCUGCUGGACUGCGACUGACGUUGAGGCCCGAAAGCGUGGGGAGCAAACAGGAUUAGAUACCCCAGUAGUC